rnacentral:rRNA from 1 species
ACUCAAAGGAAUUGACGGGGACCCGCACAAGCGGUGGAGCAUGUGGUUUAAUUCGACGAUAAGCGAGGAACCUCACCAAGAUUUGACAUGUAGCUGCAAGCUCUGGAAACAGAGCCGCCUUCGAGGGUGCUACACAGGUGCUGCAUGGUUGUCGUCAGCUCGUGUCGUGAGAUGUACCGUUAAGUCGGGUAACGAGCGCAACCCCUAUGCUGUGUUACAUAUUCACAGCAAACUGCCUGGGAUAACCAGGAGGAAGGUGGGGAUGACGUCAAAUCAGCAUGGCCCUUACAUCUUGGGCGACACACGUGCUACAAUGGCCGGUACAAUGGGUUGCGAAGCCGCAAGGCGGAGCCAAUCCCACCAAAGCCGGUCUCAGUUCGGAUUGAGGUCUGCAACUCGACCUCAUGAAGUUGGAAUCGCUAGUAACCGCGCAUCAGCCACGGCGCGGUGAAUACGUUCUCGGGUCUUGUACACACCGCCCGU